AUCCCCACUAUGCCUAGCUGUAAAAUAUUUACCCACACCCAAACCACCAGGGAAUUACGAGCCCAAGCUUAAAACCCAAAGGACUUGACGGUGUCCCAUCCCCCUAGAGGAGCCUGUUCUAUAAUCGAUUAUCCCCGAUUUACCUCACCACCUCUUGAACCCCAGUCUGUAUACCUCCGUCGCAAGCUUACCCUGUGAACGCACCAGUAAGCUAAAAGAUAUUCUACCCACACGUCAGGUCAAGGUGCAGCCAACGAGGCGGAAAGAAAUGGGCUACAAUUUCUACCCUAGAACAAACGAAAGGCUGCAUGAAACACAGCCACUGAAGGCGGAUUUAGAAGUAAAAAGAAAAUAGAGAGUUCUUUUUAAAUAGGCACUGGGACGCGUACACACCGCCCGUCACCCUCUUCAAUGAACAGAAAAAGUUAUUAACACCACACAAUUAUACAGAAGAGGCAAGUCGUAACAUGGUAAGCGUACUGGAAAGUGCACUUGGAACAAAAUAUAGCUUAAUAAAAGUAUCUUGCUUACACCAAGAACAUGCCUGUGAAACCCUGACUAUUUUGAGCCUGACCCACAGCCCUCCCCAUUUUAAUAAGAUUACCCAUGUUAAUAAAUUAAUUAAACCAUUUUUUUAGCUAAGUAAAGGCGAUUAAAAAGCUUCUAGGAGCCCUAACAAUAGUACCGCAAGGGAAACCUGAAAUAAAACUGAAACAAUUUAAAGCACCAUAAAGUAGAGAACCCCCUCGUACCUUU
rnacentral:rRNA from 1 species